UACGUAGGGGGGCUAGCGUUGUCCGGAUUUAUUGGGCGUAAAGAGCGUGUAGGCGGCCAGGUAGGUCUGGUGUGAAAACUCGAGGCUUAACCUCGAGAUGUCAUCGGAAACCAUCUGGCUAGAGUCCGGGAGGGGCGAGUGGAAGUUCCAGGUGUAUGCGGUGAAAGUGACGCAGAUAUCUGGAAGAACACCCGUGGCUAAGGCGGCUCUCUAGUACGGUACUGACGCUGAGACGCGAAAGCGUGGGGAGCGAACAGG
rnacentral:rRNA from 1 species